GGGCUGUGCGGUUGCCCUCACAGUGGUAGCAGGAGUGGUUUUAGCCACGAAAGCAGGACUGCUCUGGUGGCUGGAUGCAACGCCAUGCCUUCUGCUGGUGUGCCAGGAACACAAGAGUUCAAAGUGUGAUGCAGAACUUGUCAGUUUGGCCAAGCUAGAGAAGCAGAGUUGUUUGAAGAGUUUGAGUUUUUCUUGGGUCUUGUCCUUCCUUCUCUUUCCCUGCCUGCCUCACCCAACAAAGGAUGCUCUGCAGCUCAAUGGGGACUUUUGGCACUCGAUACGCUGUCAAUGAAAUGAAGACACGUUUUCUCAUAGGAGAUUGUUCAUCCCUCUGACUUGGAGUGUUGAUGGCUGAGGAUGCAUUAUUCAUGUGCCAUUACAGAGCACAGAGGAAGACGGAGCAUUUUGGAGGAACUACGAGGGAAUUUCAGACUUUUGUACCAUGUCUUAUUUUAUGACGUUAUCAGGGUAUAACUUAGGGGAGGAUUUUGCUUGCCACUGCUGUUCCUG
rnacentral:lncRNA from 1 species